UUGGAAAUUCAUCUGUUUUGCUGCGACCAGUGACUUUAGAUGAGCUUAGGAACAACCAGGGGCGGUACACACAGAAGCAUAUCAGGAUUGUGAGUGAUGCUGUGGGUUAUGGGAUGGUGGUACGAGGGAACGGUCCAACCUACAUCCAGACGGUGGACCCUGGUGGGCCGGCCGCAGCAGCUGGGGUUAAGGUGCGCCAGUUUGUGAAAGCUGUUAACGGGACAGAUGUGCUGGAGAUGGGCCAUCAGGAAGUCGCCAAGUACAUCCUGGCAAACCAAGAUGUCGUCAACCUGGUGGUCCUGCAGCAUGGCAGAAUGCUGUAAAUGUGAUGUUUGGUACUACUAACAUGGCAGGAAUACUGUGUAGUAUCAGCACUUGUAUUACCAUGAUGGUACUGCAACAUGGCAGAAUGCUGUGAAUGGGAUGUUUGGCACUACAUGUAUUAACAUUUUAGUGAUACUGCAUAGUUUCACAUGAUGUGUACUAAUGCCAUCUGUAUUACCAUCAUAGUACUGCAGUGUAUAAGAAUACUGUGUGCCAAUGCCAUCUGUGUUGCCAUGAUGGUACAACAAGUAAUUCUUAAAAGACCUCUUUUAGCUCAGAGAAGAACUCUCACAGUGAUCUCAACUUCAUAUUGGUGUUACCUGGCUACAUCAUUUUAGUCAACACCAAUACAGUAGGGUAGGAAAAGACUAAUGCUUUAGGAGUGUAUGAGACAUUUCUGAAUCAGUACCCAGUAUUUGAUUGCACAUAAUUCAUGUUCUCUUUUAACGUUUUAUUGCAAAGCCAACUAUCUGCUCAGCUCAUUGGUAUGUGACAAGAGUUAUGACUGUAGAUGUGAAUAGGGGCUGUCCGAUACUUCAAACAUAUUAGUUGGGAUCAGGGAAAUAUAGGCCCUUAGUUGGAUAACACUUUGAUGCCAAAGUUAGAAUUCAAAGCAGUAGCUACAUGUAACUCAGGCAAUGGCAGCAUGUAAUGAACUUUGAUAUCCUUUUGAGUGAGGUAAUUCUCAACCAAUAUGCAUAUUACUACAGUACACCACUAAUUCUACAAGGAAUAUUAUAGUUGAGUUUUAUAGAGCAGCAAAUAUUAGCUAGAAAGAUGUUUAAAUCAUUGAGUUCAACACACUAGCAACAGUAUGUAUCAAUGCAUACACAGCUGCAGUGGUUUUGGAACUUUUCGUUGAGGCUCCAGUAAUGCUGUACGUGGUGGCAUUGAUCCCACAGAUUGCAAUGUUCUGUCUCUUUACAUAAUCCAUUUGGGUAACAUAAGGCAAUAUGUCAAACUGAAGACUUCUAUCCAUAGCAUAUCUUGCAGGUAGAUAUUAUCUAAUGUAAUGAUACACACUAAGAUUUGAUGGUAAUCAAACCAAUUGUUUUAAUGAAAGUAUGAUCAGUGCAAUUGAUAUUGUAGCAAUAACGUGUGUACAAGGAAUGACAUGCAGCUUUGCUGUUUAAUGAGAUUUCAGUACAACGAAUUGUCGUAUUUUGUCAGUGGCCUUACAAAUAGUUAAUAUGUUCAAGUAUGUUAUCUUGUAGCAUAAGAAUGUGGAAAUGAUUGCAUGUAAUGUGCAUUAUCUUCUGGUAAGGAUGUGAUCCUGAAUCUUUUUGAAAUGUUGAAUCUUUUUAGGAGGUAAAAUCAGUGAAAAGUAAUUGCAACAACUUCAAUCAAAUUGCCUCUAAUACUAUGAAACCAAAAUAGAUUUGUUUUGGAGAUCAAUAAUCUAGACAAUAAAACAGUUUGAG